CGGGAGGGGACACAAGGGGACACAAAGGGGACCCCUGUGACCCCUCCCCAAAUUAUCACCCCCUGGCUGAGGUGGGGAGGGGACAAAAAGGGACAGAAGGGGACCCCUGUGACCCCUCCCCAAAAUUAUCCCAUCCCUGGUGUGGAUUCUGCUGGCUGAGAUGGGGAAGGGACACAGAGGGGACACAAGGGGACCCCUCCCCAAAUUUUCACCCCCUCCCCACCCCCGGUGUGGAUUCUGCUGGCUGAGGUGGGGAGGGGACACAGGGGACACACAAAGGGAGAGCCAGGGGCUCCCCCCGACCCCUCCCCACCCCCCCGGGGGGGUUUUUGGGGGUCCCCACGUCGGGUAUUUAUUGUAUUUAUGAGCCGCUCCCUGCACCUUUCUAAAGGGUUUUUUUCAAUUAAACCAAAAAUCACUUUGUGCUA